rnacentral:tmRNA from 1 species
GGGGGUGUUCUGGCUUUUGACGGGUUGGCCAAUAGAUGUGUAAGCACGUAGAGCGUUGAAAGUGCGGCUCUUAAAUCUCGACUUUCAAACACAAACGGCGAUUCAAAUUUCGCUAUGGCUGCCUAGUCUUAGAGACUAAGCAAAUACCAUCCGUUUGCCUGAGUCUGGUCUCGGUUACGAGGGAGUUCAAACGGUCGAUAAACUGAGAUAAUUUUAGCCCAUUUCUACCAAGUUAAAAUUUAUAAUGUAGGAUAAGGAUUCGUUGGGUAAUUGUUGCACCUGACCUGUCUCGAAAAUCAAGCGACAAUAAACGUGUAGAAAACGCAAUUCUAUUCCAAUUCGGACCCGGGUUCGACUCCCGGCAUCUCCACUG